rnacentral:rRNA from 1 species
UACGUAGGGGGGCUAGCGUUGUCCGGAAUCAUUGGGCGUAAAGCGCGUGUAGGCGGUCCGGUAAGUCCGCUGUGAAAGUCGAGGGCUCAACCCUCGAAUGCCGGUGGAUACUGUCGGGCUUGAGUACGGGAGAGGCGAGUGGAAUUCCUGGUGUAGCGGUGAAAUGCGCAGAUAUCAGGAGGAACACCGAUGGCGAAGGCAGGUCUCUGGGCCAUAACUGACGCUGAGAAGCGAAAGCAUGGGGGAGCGAACAGG